rnacentral:rRNA from 1 species
CCUCAGUAACGGCGAGUGAAGCGGCAACAGCUCAAAUUUGAAAUCUGGCCCCCCCGGGGUCCGAGUUGUAAUUUGCAGAGGGUGCUUCGGUGAGGGUCCCGGUCUAAGUUCCUUGGAACAGGACGUCAUAGAGGGUGAGAGUCCCGUAUGAGACCGCGGGCCCGGGCCGUGUGAAGCCCCUUCGACGAGUCGAGUUGUUUGGGAAUGCAGCUCAAAAUGGGUGGUAAAUUUCAUCUAAAGCUAAAUACCGGCCAGAGACCGAUAGCGCACAAGUAGAGUGAUCGAAAGGUGAAAAGCACUUUGAAAAGAGAGUUAAAAAGUACGUGAAAUUGUUGAAAGGGAAGCGCUUGCGGCCAGACUUGCCCGCGGGCGAUCAGCCGGUGCUCACACCGGCGCACUCGCCCGCGGUCAGGCCAGCAUCGGCUCAGGCGGCUGGAGAAAGGCCCCGGGAAUGUGGCCCCCUCCGGGGGGUGUUAUAGCCCGGGGAGCCAUGCAGCCCGCCUGGGCCGAGGACCGCGCUCCGGCUAGGAUGCUGGCGUAAUGGCCGCAAGCGGCCCGUCUUGAAACACGGACCGAGGAGUCUAACAUCUAUGCGAGUGUUUGGGUGUCAAACCCAUGCGCGGAAUUAAAGUGAACGGAGGUGGGAACCCGUCAGGGCGCACCAUCGACCGAUCCUGAUGUCUUCGGAUGGAUUUGAGUAAGAGCAUAGCUGUUGGGACCCGAAAGAUGGUGAACUAUGCCUGAAUAGGGUGAAGCCAGAGGAAACUCUGGUGGAGGCUCGCAGCGGUUCUGACGUGCAAAUCGAUCGUCAAAUUUGGGUAUAGGGGCGAAAGACUAAUCGAACCAUCUAGUAGCUGGUUCCAGCCGAAGUUUCCCUCAGGAUAGCAGUAACGUUUUCAGUUUUAUGAGGUAAAGCGAAUGAUUAGAGGCCUUGGGGUUGAAACAACCUUAACCUAUUCUCAAACUUUAAAUAUGUAAGAAGUCCUUGUUACUUUGUUGAACGUGGACAUUUGAAUGCACCGUUACUAGUGGGCCAUUUUUGGUAAGCAGAACUGGCGAUGCGGGAUGAACCGAACGCGAGGUUAAGGUGCCGGAAUGCACGCUCAUCAGACACCACAAAAGGUGUUAGUUCAUCUAGACAGCCGGACGGUGGCCAUGGAAGUCGGAACCCGCUAAGGAAUGUGUAACAACUCACCGGCCGAAUGAACUAGCCCUGAAAAUGGAUGGCGCUCAAGCGUGCUACCCAUACCUCGCCGUCAGGGUAGAAACGAUGCCCUGACGAGUAGGCUGGCGUGGGGGUCCGUGACGAAGCCUUGGGGGUGACCCCGGGUCGAACGGCCCCCAGUGC